GGCGGGACGGGCUUAGCGGAUUCCUUCUUCUUUUCCCCCGAUCCGCUCCCCGCCCAGGGGUACGGAGAAAGGCGGCGAGCAACGGGGGAAGCCCAAAAGGGGAGUAUUUUCUCUAGCGGAAAGACAGCAAGAAGAGUGAAGCGACGGAGCACCUUCCUGUCCAGGAUUGGGCUCCCCUCAGGGUCCCGAAGCUCCCCUCUCUGUGGUGUGUUACCCCCUCAAAGUGCCUGUUUUGAGCUUAGCCCCCGUUACCCAUCUGGACCCCACAAUAUACCCGGCCUCCAUCCCAGACGGAAGUCACACCUGGGAUAAAGUACACAAGGGAUAAAAAAGGGAGAAAAAUCAAAUUUCAAGCAGUGAACGUCCAGCCUUGACCCCACCGAGCAAGUUUGGAGCAUUUCCAUGUGUAUUUACCCUCCUGGCCAUCAUUUCUCCUGCUUGGGCUCAAGCCGCAAGGCUCAAAGAGGUGAUUUUCAAGAAAGAGGUUUGUGCUCGUGUCCCGGGCACAUCCCUGCCUCUCCCACCUUGAUUAUCCCGAGGGGAAGAUUAAGGAACGAAGCGGCUUUUGGAGAAACUGGGCCAGGGGAGCGCAGAGGGGUCUCUGCAUCCCUGGGAGAGGAGCAGGGAUGAUGCUGUCUGCAAAACGAAGAUGAUUCCCAUCAGUCCUGCACCGCUCCCUUUGCACAAAUUAGUUUCUUAAAAAAACACAUGAGAAAUGAGCUCAAACGCUCGUCCUGGAGCAUGGGGACGCCCACGGUCGCGCAGUAGAAACCCCCCAGCACCUCCCACACCCGCUGGUGUGUGGACGCAGGGCAACGGGGUGGCUGUUCCUGCCCCCUCCUUUCGUAUCUGCCCCCUGUGCUGUUACCCCCUCCUUGUACUGUCGUGGUGUUUCCAGGGCUACCGCAAAAAGGGGAGAAAAGAGGGAGAAGGUGGAGAAAGCUGGAAGCUUUGCGGGGAGCCCAGCACUGUCAGGGCUGGGGUGAACUGCUGGGUUAAUUAACGAUGUCAAAAACUGCCCGGAAACAAAAAAACCCC